rnacentral:tRNA from 1 species
GGAAAUGUGGCUCAAAUGGUAGAGCUUCUGACUUGGAAGUAUGAGGCCCUGAGUUCAAUCCCCAGUACCACCA